rnacentral:rRNA from 1 species
GGGCUCCUUCGGGAGCACCGGCGGACUGCUCAGUAACACGUGGACAACCUACCCUCGGGUGGGGGAUAACCUCGGGAAACUGAGGCUAAUACCCCAUAGGCCUCGGAUACUGGAAGGUUCCGAGACCGAAAGCUCCGGCGCCCGAGGAUGGGUCUGCGGCCUAUCAGGUAGUUGGUGGUGUAAAGGACCACCAAGCCUACGACGGGUACGGGCCCUGAGAGGGGGAGCCCGGAGAUGGACUCUGAGACACGAGUCCAGGCCCUACGGGGCGCAGCAGGCGCGAAACCUUCGCAAUGCGCGAAAGCGCGACGAGGGGAGCCCGAGUGCCCUUCCUUUCGGGAGGGCUUUUCUGGAGCCUAAAAAGCUCCAGGAAUAAGGGCUGGGCAAGACGGGUGCCAGCCGCCGCGGUAAUACCCGCAGCUCGAGUGGUGGCCACUAUUAUUGAGCCUAAAGCGUCCGUAGCCGG